rnacentral:rRNA from 1 species
AUUGAACGCUGGCGGCAGGACCAACACAUUCAAGUCGAGCGUGCGGAGGACGGGUGAGUAAUGUCUGGGGACUGCCCGAUAGAGGGGGAUCACUACUGGAAACGGUAGCUAAUACCGCAUACUAUCGGAUAACCCAGAUGGGAUUAGCUAGUAGGUUAGGUAAUGGCUCACCUAGGCGCCGAUCCCUAGCUGGUCUGAGAGGAUGAUCAGCCACACGGGGACUGAGACACGGCCCAUACUCCGAAGGAGGCAUCAGUGGUGUAUAUUGCACAAUUGGCGCAAGCCUGAUGUAGCCAUGCCGCGUGUAUGAAGAAGGCCCUAGGGUUGGAAAGUUUUGUCAGGCGGGAGGCGUUACCGACAGAGGAAGCACCUGCUAACUCCGUGCCAGCCGCCGCGGUAAUUC